rnacentral:rRNA from 1 species
GACGAACGCUGGCGGCGUGCUUAACACAUGCAAGUCGAACGGAAAGGCCCUGCUUUUGUGGGGUGCUCGAGUGGCGAACGGGUGAGUAACACGUGAGUAACCUGCCCUCGACUUUGGGAUAACUUCAGGAAACUGGGGUUAAUACCGUAUAGGAGCUCCUGCCGCAUGGUGGGGGUUGGAAAGUUUCGGCGGUUGAGGAUGGACUAGCGGCUUAUCAGCCUGUUGGUGGGGUAGUGGCAUACCAAGGAUUCGACGGGAAGCAAGCCUGAGAGGGUGAACGGCCACAAUGGGCCUGAAAUACGGCACAGACUACUACGGGAGGCAGAAGUGGAGAAUAUUGCACAAUAGGCGGAGGCCUGAUGCAGCAACGCCGCGUGCGGGAUAGCGGCCUUCGGGUUGUAAUCCGCUUUCGCCUGUGACGAAGCGUGAGUGACGGUAAUGGGUAAAGAAGCACCGGCUAACUCCGUG